GGAAGGAAAUUGGGUAAGGGGUUAGAGAUCAAAUGAGAACCAAACGGUUCUCCCAGUGUUUGGUACUUGUGUGAAGUAAGCAACAGUUAGCUGUGGUAGAAACAAUCUGUCCCUUUAUGUAGGGCUGUAGCUGAAGGAGACUUGUUGAAUUGGUCCCUAGAUCUUAACUUAGGCUAUUCUUUAUAUCUACUUUUUUUUUUUAAAAUGAGUUGUUACAAAAGUGUUGAAAGUCCAUCUUGUCUGUUACAAAAUAUUUCUCCCUUUAGAAGGCCAGUGUGUGGUCAGGAGAGACUGAAGGGAUGGGAACACUACAGAGUGUAGGCUUAAACAAAAGGAAAAUGUAGUCCAUGAGGGAAGUGCACAGAUAACAGAGAACUGGAGGAUGCAAUGUGGUCUAGUGGCUAGAGAAAGUGGGGGAACCUGGUUUCUGUUAUCAACUGCCAGAGAUUUUCCCGGUAACUUUGGGCAGAUUAUGGAACCCCCCCCCUGUUUGUUUUCCUGUGCAUAAAAUGAGGACAAUACUCACCGUUUGUAAACCAGUCUGCCCUCCCCAAAUAAGAGGUGUUACCUAAGCACAAAUUAUUAUUAUUACAGUAUUUAAUUAUCAGAACAGAACUGGAAGCGCAACUCAAUUGCUAAUGUGACUCAUGCUACCAUUUCAUCACAACAAAACACAACAUUAAAGUUCCUGGAAACCAAACCCAUACAAGUCUGUCUGGGUCCUAUCUGCAUGCUCAGAGUUGUAGUAAAAUGCAGAAUGAUACUUCAUGCUGCCAUAAUAUCUUUCAUCAAUGGAGCUCAAGACACUUCAUGCACAUUGACUUAUGAAGCCUCACAGCACACCUGGGAGGAAGAAAAACUGGAGGAAGAGAACUGGCUUUGCAGUUGAAUUAUUGAACUACAGCGCUGUUUAGGAAAAUAAGCUGUGAAAUCUAAC